rnacentral:rRNA from 1 species
CCUACGGGUGGCAGCAGUCGAGAAUCAUUCACAAUGGGGGAAACCCUGAUGGUGCGACGCCGCGUGGGGGAAUAAAGGUCUUCGGAUUGUAAACCCCUGUCAUGUGGGAGCAAAUUAAAAAGAUAGUACCACAAGAGGAAGAGACGGCUAACUCUGUGCCAGCAGCCGCGGUAAUACAGCGGUCUCAAGCGUUGUUCGGAAGCACUGUGCGUAAAGCGUGCGUAGGCUGUUUCGUAAGUCGUGUGUGAAAGGCGCGGGCUCAACCCGCGGACGGCACAUGAUACUGCGAGACUAGAGUAAGGGAGGGGGAAGCGGAAUGCGCGGUGUAGCAGUGAAAUGCGUAGAUAUCGAGAGGAACACUCGUGGCGAAGGCGGGUUCCUGGACAUUAACUGACGCUGAGGCACGAAGGCCAGGGGAGCGAAAGGGAUUAGAUACCCGGGUAGUC